AGUUACUGGCGAAUCCAAACAGAAUCUAACAUGAGCUUGGCACCAUUUUUUCGAUUGCCAUGAAUUAGGGAAAGGGUUGUGGGCUUGGCAUGCCGUGGAGAGUGUUCACAGACUAGUGUAAGGGAUGGGAAGCUUAAAAAGGAUUAUUCUUGGCUUUAAUUAAGUCCUUGUGCGAUAAGCCAAACACCAAUUGAAGAGAAAUGGGUCACUAACAAUAAAGAUCAAGUUGAACGGAAUAUUAAAAAUUAUUACUUUUUUUUAAUAGUUAUUUUCUUCUCUAAUGGUAUUUUACCUUUGAUUGCA